CCUACGGGGGGCUGCAGUGAGGAAUAUUGGUCAAUGGUCGGGAGACUGAACCAGCCAAGCCGCGUGAGGGAUGAAGGUACAGAGUAUCGUAAACCUCUUUUGUCAGGGAACAAAGGCGGGGACGCGUCCCCGGAUGAGUGUACCUGAAGAAAAAGCAUCGGCUAACUCCGUGCCAGCAGCCGCGGUAAUACGGAGGAUGCGAGCGUUAUCCGGAUUUAAUGGGUGUAAAGGGUGCGCAGGCGGUCUGGUAAGUCAGCGGGCAAAGGCCGGGGCUCAACCCCGGCACGGCGGUGGAAACUGGCAGGCUCGAGUUGGAGAGAAGUAUGCGGAAUGCGCGGUGUAGCGGUGAAACGCAUAGAUAUCGCGCAGAACUCCGAUUGCGAAGGCAGCAUGCCGGCUCCACACUGACGCUGAGGCACGAAAGCGUGGGUAUCGAACAGGAUUAGAUACCCCGGUAGUC
rnacentral:rRNA from 1 species